CUCGCACCGCCUCCACGAGCCGCCGUCGCCUUUGGACGACUAUGCCGCCUUCCCCGGCGUCGUCGCCGCCGGCCCCCGCCGGUCCCGUGCGUCGCCGGCGCCGUUUUGGCCCCUGCGGCCACUCGCGGCCAUGUCGGGCUGAGCUUGGGUGAUCCCUACCUCCGCGCGCCACCGCCGUUCCCCGCCAGCCGCGCGUCCUCCCACGGCCUCCGGCGACCUACCGCUCUCCACCACCCGCCAUCCCGGCUAUCCCCGUGGACCGCCGGCCGCCGCUCCUCCAUCCUGCGACCGCCCUGACCCAUGCG
rnacentral:lncRNA from 1 species